rnacentral:rRNA from 1 species
CGAAAGAUUGAUCCAGUNACUUAUUAGGAUGAUAUAUAAAAAUAUUUUAUUUUAUUUAUAAAUAUUAAAUAUUUAUAAUAAUAAUAAUAAUAAUAUAUAUAUAUAAAUUGAUUAAAAAUAAAAUCCAUAAAUAAUUAAAAUAAUGAUAUUAAUUACCAUAUAUAUUUUAUAUGGAUAUAUAUAUUAAUAAUAAUAUUAAUUUAUUAUUAUUAAUAAUAUAUUUUAAUAGUCCUGACUAAUAUUUGUGCCAGCAGUCGCGGUAACACAAAGAGGGCGAGCGUUAAUCAUAAUGGUUUAAAGGAUCCGUAGAAUGAAUUAUAUAUUAUAAUUUAGAGUUAAUAAAAUUAAUUAAAGAAUUAUAAUAGUAAAGAUGAAAUAAUAAUAAUAAUUAUAAGACUAAUAUAUGUGAAAAUAUUAAUUAAAUAUUAACUGACAUUGAGGGAUUAAAACUAGAGUAGCGAAACGGAUUCGAUACCCGUGUAGUUCUAGUAGUAAACUAUGAAUACAAUUAUUUAUAAUAUAUAUUAUAUAUAAAUAAUAAAUGAAAAUGAAAGUAUUCCACCUGAAGAGUACGUUAGCAAUAAUGAAACUCAAAACAAUAGACGGUUACAGACUUAANCAGUGGA